UACGGAAGGCAGCAGUGGGGAAUAUUGCACAAUGGGCGCAAGCCUGAUGCAGCCAUGCCGCGUGUAUGAAGAAGGCCUUCGGGUUGUAAAGUACUUUCAGUCGUGAGGAAGGUGUUAAGGUUAAUAACCUUAGCAAUUGACGUUAGCGACAGAAGAAGCACCGGCUAACUCCGUGCCAGCAGCCGCGGUAAUACGGAGGGUGCGAGCGUUAAUCGGAAUUACUGGGCGUAAAGGGCACGCAGGCGGUUAAUUAAGUUGGAUGUGAAAUCCCCGGGCUUAACCUGGGAAUGGCAUUCAAGACUGGUUAGCUAGAGUCUUGUAGAGGGGGUUAGAAUUCCAUGUGUAGCGGUGAAAUGCGUAGAGAUGUGGAGGAAUACCGGUGGCGAAGGCGGCCCCUGGACAAAGACUGACGCUCAUGUGCGAAAGCUGGGGAGCAAACAGGAUUAGAUACC
rnacentral:rRNA from 1 species